rnacentral:lncRNA from 1 species
GGAGACAUCCGCCACUUCGCUGUGGCCACCGACACGGUUUACGUCGCUACAGCGGAGACGCUGUACCAGCUGAGCCACGACCUGACUCUGGUCCAGAGUCUGAGUCAGAGAGGAAUCCUGAAGGGCGGGUAUCAGACGGAUGAUGCGCAGUUUUCCCGGGUUUCUGAGACGGAUGAGCGGAACGCGACUUUCAGCGUCAACAUGUUGUUGCCUUUUGUUGAGAAUGAAACUCUGAUCAGCUGCGGUGUGAUCGAGUGCGGUUACUGCGAGGUGCUGGACCUGAAGAACAUUUCAAAUGUGCAGUAUAUGGAGCACAUCCAAGUGGGAUCCACAAGGCGCAGCAGCGCAUCCAUCGGCUUCCUGGUGAAUGUGGAGGAGAAAACUACCGAGACUUACAUUCUGACUGCCAUACAGCAAUACGAAGACAAAUCCACAAAGAGCAGCUGCUUCUCGGAAUCAGAAGCGGUAAAACUUAUUAAUACGGAUAACAAGCAACACGGAUCUAUAUUUUCCUAUAUUAGCGAGUUCUCUUCCUAUUCGAUCAAACGUCCUACAGGCAGUGCGGAGUUUGUGGAUGGAUUUCAGAUCAGUUCAACCAUUUAUCUUUUCUCUAACCUGCCCUCAAGUGACACAAGUAACAGAGUCCGUCUCAUUUGGCUCGAGGGCAAAACAAACAAAGCGGAGACUCUCAGGUCGCUGCGGGGCGCGACCCUCAGCAUCUCUGAUGGUGGUAAAGGCAGCAGACUCCUCGCCUCCUCCCUGAUCCCGGGCGGGCCGCCGGUGCUCUGGAGCGGCGUGUUCAGUGUGGACGGAGGACCCACCGACACAGAGCUGCUACUGUUUGACAUCAGCCCUCCUCUCACCGGAGACACUGAUGCAGAUCCGGACUUCUGCAGUGUCUGCAGCCCUGACAGGAUAAGAUCACCGCCAAAGAUUCUGAAGCCCAAGGCAGUGCUCCUCAGGCAGAACUCCAUGACCUCUGUGCUGGCAGUGAGACAGAAGGCCUGGAUGGUUUUCUUCAUUGGGACCGGAGAUGGGCAGCUCAUUAAGCUUGCUGUGGACAAGAACUAUCACACCACCUGUCCCAGAGUGCUCUACAGGGCCUCUGACGACCGCCAAGUGUUUCCCAAAAUGCAUCUGGAUCAAGUGGAUCUUAAACACGUGUACCUGCCAUUUCAGAACCAGGUGGGUGCAUUGUACAUGUAUCCAGUCUUGUAUAAAGUACUUAGUAGUUAGAAGUUAAAGUCA